rnacentral:rRNA from 1 species
UACGUAGGGUGCGAGCGUUGUCCGGAAUUACUAGGCGUAAAGAGCUCGUAGGUGGUUUGUCGCGUUGUCCGUGAAAACUCACAGCUUAACUGUGGGCGUGCGGGCGAUACGGGCAGACUGGAGUACUGCAGGGGAGACUGGAAUUCCUGGUGUAGCGGUGGAAUGCGCAGAUAUCAGGAGGAACACCGGUGGCGAAGGCGGGUCUCUGGGCAGUAACUGACGCUGAGGAGCGAAAGCGUGGGGAGCGAACAGG